CUCCUGCUUGGAACGAUGCCUC
rnacentral:siRNA from 1 species